AAAGACCAUUCAUGUGCCUACAUAUACUGUUGAUAUAUAUGAGAUAGUGCAUGUAGGAACUUUCAUAAUGUUCUUUCUUUCUUUCUAUGGUCACAAGUCUUUUAGCUUUGUAAUGUUGGCUAGCAUGUUCAAAUCUAGAUUUUUAGAUGCCUUGUGAGUUUCAAAUAAUUACUUCUGAUAUCAGUAAUUGAUUGAAAUAUUCAUUUACUUCAUUUGAUAGUUCUCAAUAGGUGGAUUGUGAUGAGCAGAAUUUGGAGUUUUCGGUUACGCCACAAUUCAAUGGUUUCCAAAAAGGUCCCUAGAACCCAAAAAGUAUGAAGGUGCCAUACUUCAGAAGCUCUUGUUGAGUAUGUGAAUAAGGAAGCAGGUAUUAGUUGCAUCUUUAAAACAAAAUUUUCACUUUUUACCCCUUUAUCUUUUUGUGGCAGGUGCGAACACUGCAAAUCCCUUGCUCCUACUUAUGAGAAGGUUGCAGCAGCAUUUAAGUUGGAUGGAGAUGUACACCGAUGAUAAAGAAAGGUAAUUUGCUCU